rnacentral:rRNA from 1 species
UGUUUAGCCAGUGGAAGUUUGAGGCAAUAACAGGUCUGUGAUGCCCUUAGAUGUUCUGGGCUGCACGCGCGUUACAAUGUUUGGCUCAACGAGUUUUUUCUUGGCCGAAAGGUCUGGAUAAUCUUUUGAAAUCCAAACGUGCUGGGGCUUGCGGCUUGCAAUUAGCCGCACCAACGAGGAAUUCCUAGUAGACGCAAGUCAUCAACUUGCAUCGAUUACGUCCCUGCCCUUUGUACACACCGCCCGUCGCUCCUACUGAUUGAAUGCUCCGGUGAAAAAUCGGGAGAAAUUUCGCCCGCCAGCAAUGGCGAGUGAGAGUUUGAACUUUUUUAAAUUGUAGUAUUUAGAAGAAGGAGAAGUCGUAACAAGGUUUCCGU